rnacentral:rRNA from 1 species
AACGAACGCUGGCGGCAUGCCUAACACAUGCAAGUCGAACGAGACCUUCGGGUUUAGUGGCGCACGGGUGCGUAAAGCGUGGGAACCUGCCCUUAGGUUCGGAAUCACUCCCCGAAAGGGGUGCUAAUAACGGAUAAUGUUUUCGGACCAAAGAUUUAUCGCCUUUGGAUGGGCCCGCGUUGGAUUGGCUAGUUGGUAGGGUAAAAGCCUACCAAGGCGACGAUCCAUAGCUGGUCUGAGAGGAUGAUCAGCCACACUGGGACUGAGACACGGCCCAGACUCCUACGGGAGGCAGCAGUGGAGAAUAUUGGACAAGGGGCGAAAGCCUGAUCCAGCAAUGCCGCGUGAGUGAUGAAGGCCUUAGGGUUGUAAAGCUCUUUUACCCGGGAUGAUAAUGACAGUACCGGGAGAAUAAGCUCCGGCUAACUCCGUG